GUGGAUACUAUUAGUGACCCUAGAAAGAGGUUUUCAAGACUUGAGACCUGCUACACAUCCAUGUAGGUGUUUUAAGAUUUUUUUUUCUUUUCUGUUGUUUUUUUCUUCUGUUUUUUUUUCUUUUUUUCUCUUUCUUUUUCAUUAUUUUUUUGUAUCAUUAUUUUUCAUUUAACCAAAUAGGGCUACGAGUUUACUGUCAUUCUGAAUCGUGUCAGUGGAUGAAAAGUUGUUGAUAAUGUCCUUCAUCUCGAGUCCCCGACAUCUCAAUUUGACGUAAUAAAUGCAAUACAGGCCACAUGUAUCUGAAUCAUUGUGUUGGAUUUGAUUGUAAACCACACAGUAUUUCGGUCCAUUGACGAUGAGUACAUUUCUGAAAUAGCGUUGGUACUUUUCC
rnacentral:lncRNA from 1 species